UACGGGGGGGGCAAGCGUUGUUCGGAAUUACUGGGCGUAAAGGGCUCGUAGGCGGCCAACUAAGUCAGACGUGAAAUCCCUCGGCUUAACCGGGGAACUGCGUCUGAUACUGGAUGGCUUGAGGUUGGGAGAGGGAGGCGGAAUUCCAGGUGUAGCGGUGAAAUGCGUAGAUAUCUGGAGGAACACCGGUGGCGAAGGCGGCAUCCUGGUCCAAUUCUGACACUGAGGAGCGAAAGCCAGGGGAGCAAACGGG
rnacentral:rRNA from 1 species